ensembl:lncRNA
GUAGUUCCGGAGGCGACUGCGACGCAUGGCGGCGAGCGGUGUGGAGAAGACGCGCGGGUGGCGGGGCCUUGCACUGCGGCGGCCCUCCGGCACCCUUGUGCUGCCCCCCUUCCUCCAGGCCCUAGGACCUCAUGCCGGGGAGGCAGCGUGGGCCCCAGGCCCCGGUACUCUGCGCCUCCCGCAGACGCCGGCUUCCCGGCCCGGUUUCCAGCGCCGGGAAUCCUUCCACUGUCUGUCUCUGCCCAGGGCAACCCCUGCGCAGUAACGCGGACCCCAUAGCGCACCCGUUAGGCGAUGAAGGCGCAAAAGAAGAGGAAGAAAACCCGGAACAGGGCCUCGGUGGCAAAUGGAGGCGAGAAGGCCUCAGAGAAGCCCGCCCCAGAGGAAGUUCCCGUACAAGCAGUUGGCCCAGGGAUUGGCUUGGUGCGUGGAGCGACUGCAGCUGGGUCUCCAGAGGCAGAAACUCACCCCGACACGAGUAAGAGACGUGGAUUGUGUGAUGCCCCAUUAUUUUAUGUUAUCAGUAAGAUAAUUUUUAAAAUGCUACAAAUGAUUUUGAGUCCAGCUCGAGCAACAUAGUGGGACACCUGUCUCUUAACAACAACAGCCAAAACAAACAAACAAGCAAUAGCAAAACCCUCAAGUUUCGGAUAUACUCCUGAUUAAGAAACCCAGAAUAGAAUAACCCAUGGACUCUUUAAUAAUAAGGAAAAUAAGUGCAUUUGAAGCCAGUCUUACUUCAGAGGUCAUUUCUAUAAUCACCCGUUUGGAGCAGCAGUGCCCGACAUCAGCAUCUGGGAUCCUGACACGAUUGAUAGAACCGAAUCAAGCAAGACAAUACCACCCCACUUUUAUUCGCUGUGAUUUGCAAGAAAGAGAAAAUGGUGGAAUUUUUAUUGAAAAAGCAAAUACACAUGCCGUUGAUAGGCCGAGAUUGUACAGCAGUUCUUUUUUAAAGCGAAAAGCUGUUUAUUCUAGAGUUGUAAGAGUCAAGUCAGAAGUACUAAUAAGCUGCACGUAAUUAUUGGCAUAUAGUGAAAAAUAUCACCACGAACAAUCAGGUAGACCAGCAAGUAUUUGGACUAACAAAGAAGAGCAUAUGACGGAGUCUCACUCCGUUGCCAGCCUGGAGUGCGUUGGUGUGAUCUCGGCUCACUGCAUCCUCCACGUCCCAGGUUCGAGCGAUUCUCCUGCCUCAACCUGCCACGUAGCUGGGACUACAGAACAGCCCUCAUGCUUGCUGUGCACUAUGACCCGCCAGGUAUUGUCAACAUCCUUCUUAAGCAAAAUGUUAAGAGCUCUACUCAAGACAUGUGUGGAUGAGAGGCUGAAGACUUCCCUCUUGUGGGUUGACAAAACGGAGUCUCACUCCGUUGCCAGCCUGGAGUGCGUUGGUGUGAUCUCGGCUCACUGCAUCCUCCACGUCCCAGGUUCGAGCGAUUCUCCUGCCUCAACCUCCCACGUAGCUGGGACUACAGAUUCCACUUCUGCAAGACUCUACAGAAGUCUCCAACCUUCAAAUCUUCAGUCUCCGAAAGCACCGAUUCCUGAAAGGAUGGCCUCAAAUGACCAAGUAUACGAGCCGUCUAUAUCCCUGCUCCUGAAAAACAAGCUAACUGGACUCUCCAUCACCUUCCCCCAGCACAGACGCACUACCAGCUACGCAGCUGAACUCCAUGACUGACUUGCCAUCCAAUCAUGCCCCUGACCCAGCCUACAUGAACAAGGGAAGGAACAUCAGCGAAUUAGGAAAAGAGGCAGAGGUGAGGAGACCACCUGUCCUGGGCCACAGAGCUAUGUAGAGUUCAUCAAUCUCCAGCCCCUUAGUAUUCCAGGGGCUCUAAACCACCUUCUGUAAGUCAGGAUGGAAGUAGAUGGUGCCACGAAGAUUUCUCUCUGCUGUAGCCACUCCUUCAGUGUCUCAAAAUGUUUUAACAUCUUUCAGUAAAAAUCUGUCAGUCCUUGAUAAAUUAAAAAAAAAAAAGGCAGCAAAGUUUUUAGAGCUCCCUUGAACCUUCUAUUUUAAGGCGCCUUUGUAGAUAAUUCCCAACAUUCUGUGUGUCGGUCAUCUUUGGAAUUUAUCGAUCGAUCAUUGUUUCUCUUCAAACUUGGCCUUGCCCUGCCCAUUCCAUUCUUACCCGCUUUCAUUGGCUUCACUAGUCAAUUCCACACUCAUUCUAGACACUGGGUGCACGAGACUCACUCCCGUUUGUAUUACCAAAACUCAGGCCAAUAGGAUAUAAAAAGUAGGAAGAAUACUGGGAUUUAACAUGAGUACAAAUCUCAUUUCUUCCAAUUCCUAUGUCUUCUUGAAUCCUAAUCUUUCUGAGACUCAAGUUUUCUAUCUAAACGAUCCCUUGACCAGAAUGUUCAACAGACGUGACAAUACUAGAACGUGUUUUAAUUCAUUCUAAGAUUCCUUAAAAUUCUGUAAUUCUAUGUGCUGCUGAUUCUGGGAAUACAUAGCCAGCAGAAUUUGAAAAACGAAUAGAAUUAAAGAAAUAACAAAGACAAAAAAAAAAAAAAA